rnacentral:rRNA from 1 species
UUUAGUAUUAAAGAUAAUUAAUUGAGUAGUAAUAGAGAGCUUGAAACUUAAAGAGUUUGGCGGUAUUUAAGUCUUUUUAGAGGAACCUGUAACUUAAUCGAUAAUCCACGAGAUAUCUGACCUAAAAAUUAAAGUAUGUAUAUCGUUGUCUUUAGAAUAAUUUUGAAGAAUGUUUUCGGGAAAUUUUAGUUAAUAUGUCAAAUCAAGGUGCAGCUAUAUUUAGGGGUGAUUGGGUUACAAUAUAUAAAAUAAACAAAUUAUUAAGUGAAAUAUAAUAUGAAGGUGGAUUUAAUUGUAAAAUAUUUUUAAUAAGAAUUUUUGAAGCAGUACUGAAAUAUGC